rnacentral:rRNA from 1 species
CACCGGCGCACGGGUGCGUAACGCGUAUGCAACCUACCUAAAACUGGGGAAGUAGCCCGGGGAAACCCGGAUUAAUACCGCAUAAGACAUUAGAAUCACAUGGUUUAGAUGUUAAAGCUUUGGCGGUUUUAGAUGGGCAUGCGUCCGAUUAGCUAGUUGGAGAGGUAACGGCUCACCAAGGCGACGAUCGGUAGGGGUUCUGAGAGGAAGAUCCCCCACACUGGCACUGAGAUACGGGCCAG